AUGCAAGGAGAGAGGGAGUACAAGUCAGAGAUCAAGGUGAUAAGCAGGCUGCGUCACCGGAACCUCGUGCAGCUCCUCGGCUGGUGCCAUGACCGUGAGGAGCUCCUGCUGGUCUACGAGCUCAUGCCCAACCGCAGCCUCGACAUCCAUCUCCACGGCAAGCAGGGCACCUUCCUCACGUGGCCAAUGAGGAUGAAGACAUUGCAGGAGCUUGGGUCUGCACUGCUCUACCUCCAUGAGGAGUGGGAGCAAUGUGUGUUACACCGGGACAUCAAGCCCAGCAACGUGAUGCUCGACGAGUCCUUUGGAGCCAAGUUAGGCGACUUCGGGCUAGCGAGGCUCGUUGACCAUGCCGCUGGGGUGCAAACAAUGACCGCAAUUUCGGGGACUCCGGGCUACUUGGAUCCCGAGUGCGUGAGCACCGGUAGGGCCAGCGCCGAGUCCGAUGUGUACAGUUUUGGCGUGGUUCUACUGGAGGUAGCAUGCGGCAGGAGGCCAAUGAGCAUAACGAGGCCAAUGAGCAUAACCUCGGCCGACCAGGACAAGCAGAAGAACGGCGGCGUUUUCCGGCUGGUCGAGUGGGCCUGGGGGCUAUAUGGCCACGGAGCCAUUCUUGAGGCCGUCGACGAGCGGCUGAACGGUGACUACAACGCAGCAGAGGUGGAGAGGGUGAUGGUCGUCGGGCUGUGGUGCGCACAUCCGGACCCAAGCGCGCGACCGUCCAUCAGGACAGCCAUUGGGGCGCUCCAGUCCAACUCCAAGGUCCACAGAGCCUGCAGUAAGCUGCCGGUGCUCCCCUCCAAGAUGCCGGUACCCAUGUACGCUUCUCCCCCGUUCGCCCUCGCGGACUUGUCGUCCAACUCCAGCGUGCAGCCGCACACCUCCAGUACCACUACUUCCUCCGACGCUAGCACUUCCAUGACCAGUUCAAAGGCCUCUUCUUCGCUACUGAAACAUCAAUACUAG
rnacentral:rRNA from 1 species